AAGGAUUUCCAGGAUACUUUGCAAUGCAGCUAGUUAUAGGUAAAUACCUUUUAGGAUAAGGCAAUACAGGAUCAUGCAGAGUUGCAGAGGUUGAAACAGGUAGGUAUAUUGCAAAAUAAUAUAAUGCAGGUUGCUUACGAGAUCAUGCAGUGAUGCAGCAAUUGAAGCAGUUAAGAUUCUUCAAUGAAGGCAAUAUGCCACAAAUCAGGAUUCUUGGAAGCUUAUAAG